rnacentral:rRNA from 1 species
CGGGCGGGGCGGUGCGAGUGGAACGAAGGCUUCUGCCUUAGUGGCGCACGGGUGCGUAGCCCAUGGGAAUCUGCCCCUUGGUGCAGAAUAGCAGUUAGGAAUGACUGCCGAUACCGGAUGAUGACUUCGGUCCAAAUAUUUAUCGCCGAGGGAUGAGCCCGCGUAUGAGUAUGUAGUUGGUGGGGUAAAGGCCUACCAAGGCGGGCAUCGAUGACUGGUCUGAGACCCCGAUCUUGCACUGGGGGAGUGAGGCCGGCCCAUACUCCUACGGGAAGCAGCCGUGGGCAAUAUUGGAUGUGGGCGAAACCCGGAUCGGCAAUGCCGGUCACUGAUGACCCCUUACGGAUGUAAAGCUCUUUUGGGGGUUGAAAUUACAGUACCGGGGAAUAACCCGGGGCUAUCUCGGCUGGAUGUCCGGGGU